rnacentral:rRNA from 1 species
UACGGAGGGGGCUAGCGUUGUUCGGAAUUACUGGGCGUAAGGAGCGCGUAGGCGGUCUGCCAAGUCAGGUGUGAAAGCCCAGGGCUUAACCCUGGAACUGCAUUUGAAACUGGCAGACUAGGGAGUGGUAGAGGAUAGUGGAAUUCCCAGUGUAGAGGUGAAAUUCGUAGAUAUUGGGAGGAACACCGGAGGCGAAGGCGGCUAUCUGGACCAUUUCUGACGCUGAGGCGCGAAAGCGUGGGGAGCAAACAGG